rnacentral:rRNA from 1 species
AACAAGCGGGCGAGGUUGCUUCGGUAACUGAGCUAGCGGCGGACGGGUGAGUAAUGCUUAGGAAUCUGCCUAUUAGUGGGGGACAACAUUCCGAAAGGAAUGCUAAUACCGCAUACGCCCUACGGGGGAAAGCAGGGGAUCUUCGGACCUUGCGCUAAUAGAUGAGCCUAAGUCAGAUUAGCUAGUUGGUGGGGUAAAGGCCUACCAAGGCGACGAUCUGUAGCGGGUCUGAGAGGAUGAUCCGCCACACUGGGACUGAGACACGGCCCAGACUCCUACGGGAGGCAGCAGUGGGGAAUAUUGGACAAUGGGCGCAAGCCUGAUCCAGCCAUGCCGCGUGUGUGAAGAAGGCCUUUUGGUUGUAAAGCACUUUAAGCGAGGAGGAGGCUACUUGGAUUAAUACUCUAGGAUAGUGGACGUUACUCGCAGAAUAAGCACCGGCUAACUCUGUGCCAGCAGCCGCGGUAAUACAGAGGGUGCGAGCGUUAAUCGGAUUUACUGGGCGUAAAGCGUGCGUAGGCGGCUUCUUAAGUCGGAUGUGAAAUCCCUGAGCUUAACUUAGGAAUUGCAUUCGAUACUGGGAAGCUAGAGUAUGGGAGAGGAUGGUAGAAUUCCAGGUGUAGCGGUGAAAUGCGUAGAGAUCUGGAGGAAUACCGAUGGCGAAGGCAGCCAUCUGGCCUAAUACUGACGCUGAGGUACGAAAGCAUGGGGAGCAAACAGGAUUAGAUACCCUGGUAGUCCAUGCCGUAAACGAUGUCUACUAGCCGUUGGGGCCUUUGAGGCUUUAGUGGCGCAGCUAACGCGAUAAGUAGACCGCCUGG